AAAUAACCAUCACCAGACUCCACCAGACUCCAUGUAAAUAAACAGUAAUUUUAGCAUUGUAAAAUACACUUUCAUUCAAAGUUGACAGAAACAAAAUAAAACUAUUAAAAGCCAAUUUGGUUCAUCUUUCCGCUUUUCCAACCAUAGCAACUCUAGUUUGGGUUGAAAU